rnacentral:rRNA from 1 species
CAAUAGCGUAUAUUAAAGCUGUUGCGGGUAAAAAGCUCGGAGUUGGAUUUCUGUCAAGGACAACUGGUCCGCCCUCCGGGUGAGCACAUAGUUUGGUCUUGACAUCUUGCUGGAAGCUGUUGCUGCACUUGGCUGUGUGGCGCAGUGUUCAGCACUUUCACUUUGAGGAAAUUGGAGUGUUUCAAGCAGGCACAUGCCUUUGGACACAGUAGCAUGGAAUAAUUAGAUUGGGCUUUUGCUCCAAUUUGUCGGUUUCUGGAGCUGAGGUGAGUAUUAAUGGGGAUUGUUGGGGGCAUCCGAAUUUAGCCGUCAGAGGUGAAAUUCUUGGAUCUGCUAAAGACGGACAACUGCGAAAGCGUUUGCCCAGGAUGUUUUCAUUGA